UAGAACACCAGAGGAACCACAUUUAAAUGGGAGAUACAGUUGUGUAUCAUCCGCAUAGCAAUGAUAGGAUAUACCGUGCUUUUUCAUAAUUUGACUGAGUGGCAACAUAUAGGAUAAUGAGUCCUU